GAUCAUGGCUCAGGACGAACGCUGGCGGCGUGCUUAACACAUGCAAGUCGAACGAGAAUCUGUGGAAAGAGGAUUCAUCCAAUUGAAGCAGAGGACAGUGGCGGACGGGUGAGUAACGCGUGAGGAACCUGCCUUUCAGAGGGGGACGAACAGUUGGAACGACUGCUAAUACCGCAUGACACAUAGGUGUCGCAUGGCACUUAUGUCAAAGAUUUAUCGCUGAAAG
rnacentral:rRNA from 1 species